AUUCUUUCGUAGUUCAUAAGCGUGAUGAUUAGGUCUUCAUGCUCUUGUGUGAGAUGUGCCUCCCUCAACCCUUGUUAUGACUUGGCACAUUACCUAUCUGAUG
ensembl:snoRNA